UAUCACAGCUAUAGGCUAUAUUUAUGCCACUAUCAUUUUAAUUAUGAAAAAUUAUAAAUUGAUGUAUGACUGAUGAUUAAUGUCAGACCUAUCAAGCUUACUGUUUUCUUUAUUAAAUACAAAAUGGUGUAUGUGUAAAGUUCAGUAGGACUUUCCUGACGACUAUCAUAUUACAUGUAGGCAUAUAGGCCUAUAUGUUUCAGAUAUACAGUUGACUCAUAAUAUAAACGAUUUGCAAAUAAUAUUGGUGUAUGGCUUCAAAUACAAGUGCUGUUUUGUUCCAUUCUUUGAAAUGUGGUAAAAAUUACGAUUUGUGGGGAAAAGAUUAUCAUUAUAACUUAGCAUGCAGUACAUAAUUAUUUUUAUAUUUUUCAAGUGCACUUCAUUGACACAAGAAGUUCAUGCAGGUGAAGACAUCCCGACACCAGCUGAAACUUCUAUGGGACCGCCAUCACAUGUGUGCACCCCUACACCAGUAACAUCUACGCCUGCACAUGCCCAUAAAGAACCUAUAGCUAUAGAUAGACCUCCGAUGUCUCAGAUAUAGAAGCUCAGUCAUCACACUCGUCUGAUUUAUCUUGUGUGGAGGCAUUACAAUCAGACUCCCAGAGUAACAUUAAUGCCAGCUUGCUUUCCCAUUACCAACAGAAGGCUAAAGAGGAUGACACCUCAUUUAUUGAUAUACCUCAGACACAUCAACCUGAACACUUGCCAAUGGCUGAAGAUCCCAUAGAAAUUGAAGAGGUUGAUGUUGAUGAUGAGCUUGCAGAGGAUGAAGGAGACAUUGUGGAAACAGACACUCAAAAUGAUAGUGCUGAAGAAAGGAAAUCCAUAUGCUUCCAAAGUGCCCUGUUGUAACUCACGUCAGUUCGAAUACCCACAGCUUGUCAAAGAAAAGCAUGUGGUGCAAAUAUCAUUCUCCAAUGGAGAUAUGUUGGAUGUGCAGUACAGUUGAAAUGAAUUGGAGGAGCAGCAUUUGGUUCUAGUCCUGGAUCCUCUGGUUCACCUACAUUUUCGCAAAGGUCAAAAACUAGGCCUGGCUGACGAUACACUAGCUGAAGAACUAAAUUUAUCAGUGGCUUUGGGUCCAUCCUUCUGAUUAUAUCCUAAUACAUAAAACAAUUAUUAUAGAACAAAUCCAUGUGGGUGGGAGUACUGUAGCAUUCUAAUGUAUAAAAAUAACUGUUUUUCCUUAUUUUUGGUUUUGAGUUGAUAAAUUUUAAUGCACUUAUUAACUUAUCUAUUUUCCCUCAAAUUUCAUCCCAAAUUUUUAGCCCACCAUCAUCAGAUG